UUUGAUCACUAAACUUAUUUUUUUCCGCAAUAAACCAUUAAACUCGUAUUUGACCUAUCAAUUAAGUCAUUUUACAAAAAUUUAACAGGUUACCCGGUAACAAAAUCUGAUGUGGCAUUAGUAAUUAAUUUAUCUUUAUUGUUUGGUACAGUCAUGUGUGUGAUGGGUAUGGGAACCUUCCAGCUCAUCUCCAUCUCUAUCUUCUUGCCUGAACAUGUUACCCCUAUCCCUUUGUUAUCCUUUUGUCUUCCCAAGACAACUGUUCCUGUUUCUUCUUUCUUCCGACUGUGUUCAUCGGAAAUUCUCCCCACCAAAGAACCGGCACCAAUCUCUUACUGUCUAACCUCCAAAAUCCAAGUCUGCUACAGUAACUAUUUACUCACAACUCCUCUCAUUUUUUUUCGGAUUUAACUAAAUCCUAAUCAUUUCUGUGUUCCAAGCCUCCCACAUUAAAGCAGUCUUCAUGUUUUCAAUCAUCUUGUUCGAAUGAACCUAGCUACACAACCCCAAUAGGAAUCUAUGAGAAUAUUUGAACUUUUCACAUCAUGAUGAGCAGAGGGUUGAUUUAAGUGUGGAGAAAUGCAAGAGCUUUUACAACUUCCAUCGCGAUUUUUAACUGAAGCUGUCAGUUCAACGGUGAGAAGCCACCUGAAGAUGGUCGUUUGGUGUCUUUGAGCUUUGAAAGUCAGAAAACUUGAGUGAGACCUGGACAUGGUGCGACGAAGACCUACCAUGGCAUGAUACCGUUGUGGCUUCAGGUUACAAAUUUCCAACAAGAAAUAUUUUAACGAAAAGAACAUGAAGUGCAGAAUCUAUCGCUGUUUUGAGUACAUGAACUCGAGGUGAAAAAGCCAUUUCAGUAGUUGAAUCCACAUGGAGCACAAAUAUUUAAACCAUUAAAUAUGGUUCGUGAAGAAGACUCGUGUUGAAAGUGAAGUUCUUUGGGCCACAAGAUCCGGGAGUGCAUAAAUCUGGACACAUAACUGUAAUGGAUUAUUGAUGUUAGAUGGAGAAGAAGCGUUUCCAACCAACAAUAGAAAACAAUAUCAACUUCUUGAAUCCCAUACAUGAUUGAAUCGAAUGAGGAGUUUAAAUCCCCCUCCCCCCCAAAAAAACUCAAUUGCGUGAUUAUCUUUUCUGAUUCCUCAAAAAAUUUCAGCAUUGAAUUCUAGUGAGACGAGUGAACUUCCUGUGGAUUGAGUUACCGACGAUGGAGAUGGGAAGAGUUUGAGGCUUAGUUUACUAGCUUACAACCCGUGGAAACCACGGGAAAAAUAUUUAUAAAAUAAAUAAAUUAUUAAUAGCAUUUAUGAUUUUACAAA